rnacentral:rRNA from 1 species
ACUCCUACGGGAGGCAGCAGUGGGGAAUAUUGCACAAUGGGGAAGCCAUCGAUGCAGCCAUGCCGCGUGUGUGAAGAAGGCCAAUUCGGGGCUUUGGUUAAAGACACUUUUCAGCGAGGAGGAAAGGGUGUGUGCUAAUACCAUACAUCUGUGACGUUACUCGCAGAAGAAGCACCGGCUAACUCCGUGCCAGCAGCCGCGGUAAUACGGAGGGUGCAAGCGUUAAUCGGAAUUACUGGGCGUAAAGCGUGCGCAGGCGGUCUGUUAAGCGAGAUGUGAAAGCCC